rnacentral:lncRNA from 1 species
CUAAAUUUGAUCAAAACCUCACAAUUUAGAGCAAAUUUAAUGGAGGUACUCACGAUUUGAGGUAUUUUGAUCUGAUUAUUGGUUAAUUCUCGAUGCCUUUUCUCUAAUUUCCCCAAUUUUGAGCUCAGGGUUCCUUGGGUCUCGAAUCUAUCACGCACUUGUGAUUUGCCAUGAACAGGGCAAGUUACAGACUAGCUAAAAGAACUAUCCUAGACGAUGAAGAAGGGUGAAUUGCACUACGAACAAUUGCACCUGGAAUAUGUCUUUUAUUUCAUUAGAGUCGAAGCAAGAUUUCACUGUUGUCCAACUAAGUUGUGUAUUUUGAGGUCCAGCUUGUUUCCAUUGUCAAGGUGUGUGAUGUUCUGUCUGUAGACAUACGCAAUGCAGUAAAAUGGAUACACAUUACCUGAGAUGUAAAGGUGCCAAAAAGUUGCUCUAUCACUUAUUGGUCUUGCUUCCUGUUUUCUUUUUUUUUUUUUUUUUUUUUU